GAUGAACGCUGGCGGCGUGCCUAACACAUGCAAGUCGAACGGAAAGGCUCCUGCUUGCAGGGGUACUCGAGUGGCGAACGGGUGAGUAACACGUGGGUGAUCUGCCCUGCACUUCGGGAUAAGCCUGGGAAACUGGGUCUAAUACCGGAUAGGACCACAUUUUGGAUGGUGUGGUGGAAAGUUUUUCGGUGUGGGAUGAGCUCGCGGCCUAUCAGCUUGUUGGUGGGGUAAUGGCCUACCAAGGCGUCGACGGGUAGCCGGCCUGAGAGGGUGUACGGCCACAUUGGGACUGAGAUACGGCCCAGACUCCUACGGGAGGCAGCAGUGGGGAAUAUUGCACAAUGGGCGCAAGCCUGAUGCAGCGACGCCGCGUGGGGGAUGACGGCCUUCGGGUUGUAAACUCCUUUCGCUAGGGACGAAGCGCAAGUGACGGUACCUGGAGAAGAAGCACCGGCUAACUACGUG
rnacentral:rRNA from 1 species